rnacentral:rRNA from 2 species
GCUACCAUGCAGUCGAACGAGUAAGAGCCGUAGCAAUACGGAAUUCUGCUAGUGGCAGACGGGUGAGUAAUACAUGGGAAUCUACCUUAAAGUCUGGGAUAACUGUUGGAAACGACAGCUAAUACCGGAUAUUGCCGAGAGGUGAAAGAUUUAUUGCUUUAAGAUGAGCCCAUGCAAGAUUAGCUUGUUGGUGGGGUAAUGGCCUACCAAGGCUACGAUCUUUAGCUGGUUUGAGAGGAUGAUCAGCCACACUGGAACUGAGACACGGUCCAGACUCCUACGGGAGGCAGCAGUGGGGAAUAUUGGACAAUGGGCGAAAGCCUGAUCCAGCGACGCCGCGUGAGUGAUGAAGGCCUUCGGGUUGUAAAGCUCUUUUAGUAGGGAAGAUAAUGACGGUACCUACAGAAAAAGCCCCGGCUAACUUCGUGCCAGCAGCCGCGGUAAUACGAAGGGGGCAAGCGUUACUCGGAAUUACUGGGCGUAAAGCGUGCGUAGGCGGCUUGGUAAGUUGGAAGUGAAAGCCUAGGGCUCAACCUUAGAAUUGCUUUCAAAACUGCCUGGCUAGAGUACUAGAGAGGAUAGCGGAAUUCCUAGUAUAGAGGUGAAAUUCGUAGAUAUUAGGAGGAACACCGGAAGCGAAAGCGGCUAUCUGGCUAGACACUGACGCUGUUGCACGAAAGCGUGGGGAGCAAACAGGAUUAGAUACCCUGGUAGUCCACGCAGUAAACGAUGAGUGCUAGAUAUUGGAAUUUAAUUUUCAGUGUCAAAGCUAACGCGUUAAGCACUCCGCCUGGGGAGUACGGUCGCAAGAUUAAAACUCAAAGGAAUUGACGGGGACUCGCACAAGCGGUGGAACAUGUGGUUUAAUUCGAUGCUACGCGAAAAACCUUACCAGGCCUUGACAUGUUGGUUAUAUCGUGAAAAGAUUCAUGAGUCANCUCGGCUGG